rnacentral:sRNA from 1 species
CUCCUAUGGGACGGUGGACACCGGGGUAGUGAGGGGGCAGAGAGCCCUGGGGCUCCCUGGGACUGAGGAGGCAGAAUGGAGGGGCCUGUGCCCUAACUCCUCUCUGUUCUCCAGAGCGCAGAUGUUCUGUGUUUUACGGGGCACCAAGUAAGAGCAGACUCUUGGCCACCUUGUGUUCUGCUGAAGUCUGCCAGUGUGCUGAGGGGAAGUGCCCUCGCCAGCGUCGCGCCCUGGAGCGGGGUCUGCAGGACGAGGAUGGCUACAGGAUGAAGUUUGCCUGCUACUACCCCCGUGUGGAGUACG